rnacentral:piRNA from 1 species
UAGUACUCAUCAGAUGACACAUGAGAGG